UACGAAGGGGGCUAGCGUUGUUCGGAAUUACUGGGCGUAAAGCGCACGUAGGCGGACAUUUAAGUCAGGGGUGAAAUCCCAGAGCUCAACUCUGGAACUGCCUUUGAUACUGGGUGUCUUGAGUAUGGAAGAGGGUCGCGGAAUUCCCGGUGUAGAGGUGAAAUUCGUAGAUAUCGGGAGGAACACCAGUGGCGAAGGCGGCGACCUGGGCCAAUAUUGACGCUGAGGUGCGAAAGCGUGGGGAGCAAACAGG
rnacentral:rRNA from 1 species